UGAGUUGUGUUCUUAGACAUUCAUUACAAUUGGUUGUUUGGAAUCCAUGUAGAAUGAGUACUGUACAUGUGGGCCUCACGUACAGUUGUGUAAAUAACACCCUAACUUCAUAGAGCAGAGCAACCUAAGGGCUCUGUCCUUCCUCACGCUUAAUGUGUUUUUGCCAUUUUCCCAAAGAAGGAUUUUUCAUCUUGAAUCCCAAGCUUAGUGGUUUGAAUUUUAACAGGUGGGUGAAGUGAUUAUGUUGGAGUUUGUCAAAAGUAAUUGCAGCAAUGUAAAGAAUGGGCCUUUGCACUGAAAGCAAGGAAUAUGAAAACCUCUGAGGAGGUGAAAAUAAGACUGGGGAGAAGCUGAUGAACUUGUAGGCCAAAAUCCCUAUUAGUGACAGGUGAGGUAUGACCAGUAAAUGGACAGUGGAGGCAUUGAUUUGAGUUGUAACACAGCACAUGCACAAAUUUUCAAUAUCCCUUGCCUUUGUCCUGAUUACUACAACGGUGGUUACUUUCUAAGUCAAACUUUAUAAAGCAGACUAAUCUUUGCCCAAAGAACCUAGGAUCACAAAGACAAGCCUUUUUUUUGCCUUCUUAUCUAAUGUUUAAUUUUCUUGCAUCUUUUGCUCAUUCAGAUUUUGUCAGAUUUCUGACCACCCCUGCCCCAAAACAGCACUACUCCACUGUGGUGUCAUGAUGAAGGCUUCUAAUACAGUAAUACCCCAGUCAUCUUCAGCCUCAUCUUGUUGCUAUGACAUCUCUAAAGCUGAAGCUUAAAAACUAAACUCAUGCCUGUCAGUGCUUCACAUUAUUAGCACUAAGUGUGAUUACAGCAAAAGAGGGAAAACAUAGUUAGGUCACUGUUUAUUUUAGAGUUUUGAUGAAGGGUUUGGGCAAAGUAGAUUACCGGAGCAGUCAGCUUGUCCAUUAGUGAUGCUACUAAGGAACAGGAUAAACUGUGAGUGUAGUAAUUGACCCCCAUCCGGUUUUGUUGCUAACACAGCUAACGGACCCCCAACACAGCUUAAGUAUUUUGAACUGUAAAAGUAUUAAAUUUCUUUGAGCAACAGAUCUAGGAGAUGAUCGUGGGACACUAAAUAGCAGUUUAGUUCUUUCUCCAUUUUCCUCCCUCUUUGUUCUUUCUCUCUAAUUUGCAUCACUCAGUCUCUUAGAAUGUUAGCAUCACAGAAAUUUUCAGUUAAGGAAGUAUAUACCUUCUUAAAUUACCAAGUUAAAACAUUAACCUGCAUCUAAUUAAUGUUAAAAUCUGGCAAAGAGUAGACCUACAGUCCCCAAGUGAUCUGGCUUCUGAACUUUGGUUUGCUUUCACAAAUGUGAACCAGUUUGACCUAAAUCUGGGUAUUUCAUGUAACAUCCCUAGAGAUUUAUUUAAAGUGUUUGUGGCAAUAACAUUUAAUUUAUAUCCAUUUAAUUGAUUCUGGGUACCUCUUGAUAAUGCAGCCAGGUUAAGCCAUAAAAACAAUGUAGAGUUUUCAGAGUCUUAGGUAUUUGACAGUGUUCCAUGUUUUUAAGCAUUUCUCAAAACUGACUAGUUGAAAUACAUCUUUUCUGUGAGCCAACCUCACCAGUAAUUCCACUUCAAGUGGGCAGAGCCUUUCUGAAAAUGGCUGAUCAAGAAUAAGUGACAUUUUAUUCCAAGGAGUAACCAGAGACUUAUUUUUUCUCCCUUUAAAUGUAAUUUAAAAUGCCCCAGAGGAUUAGUAAAUUAGGUCUCUUGGUAUAGCAUGGUAAUCUGAUCAGACUGUCAUGCCCAUAAACAGUGGAAAAGCAGGAUGUUGAUUCAUUUGUGUGCAUGUUUAAAGGGAGCAGUGGAUGGUAAUUCCCUUCUCCUACUCUGUUUCUUUGUUUCAUAUCAGGGCUCUUUAACACCUUAGACUAGAACAGUGUUUUAAAAGUUGGCCAGUUGCAUUUUGCUUCUCUGUUUCUACCUUAGUGAUGGUUCCCUACUCGAUCAUUUAAACACUGAUCCAAAUCUAGAUGGAAUUAGAUGCCUCUUCCUGCUGUGCUCCAUAGUCAGAAAGUCUGUAAUGUUUGAUAGGGAUCUUCUGAGUGGACAAGAUGAGAUUAGAUUGGUCUCACUGGGAGCCAACACUAUUCAUUUUGUAAGAAAGUUAUACUGGAGGCCUGAGGACUGCUGAGAGCAAAGUGGAAACAGAAACCAGCCUUCUCUUAUCAAGAUCCACAGUUGGUUCCACAUUAAGCACUCUGUUAAAGGAUUUGAAUAAUGAAUUAGAUCAAAAGCCAAGAAGGCGGUCCCUGCCACCCACGACUGGAAUAUGAGUUUCAUAUGUUGUAACUUUAUUACCAUUUUUUGUUUCAGUGUGUGACAAAGACAAAUCUCUGGCACUAUUUUUAGUUACUGGUGGGCUUCUCUCCUGUUUAUUGAGCCCUCUGCUUUCUCCCAUCCAAAUACUAACCAGACCUGACCCUGCUUAUUAGCUUCUGAGAUCUGACAAGAUGGGGCGCGUUUAGCAGGGUAUGGCCGUAGACGAGCCCCCUGCAAGCCCCCAGCUAGACACUGCACAACUGAGCACCAUGAGCUCUGACCUUUACAGUAAUCCUCAUAUUUAACCCUUUCCAGUUGUUUAGAACUUUAUAAGAUACUUUCACAUUUAUCCUCUCCUUAGAGUCUGACAUGCAAGGUAGAUACCAUUAUCUUCAUUUUGCUAUUGAACCCGGCACAGCUAGCAAGUGGAAGGUGAUUCUGAAUCCACCAAACCCUGGUGCCCCUCCUGCUAUCUGCCUUUCUCUAAAGUGAGCAGGAGCUAUAAUAUACACUGAACAGUAGUGGUGGUGCUUAGGCCAUAGUCGAAAAGCAUCAGUAUAACGUUGGAACUGCCUUACACCCCAGACCUUCUGACUAGGCUGCAGUGCUCUGUGUGUUAAGCCCUCUCCAUGGUUCCUACCCAGGCUAAAGUUCAAGAACCGCUGGACUAAAGCAGCAAUUGACAGAUGAGGGGAUUGAAGCUGUGGCUAAGUUGAACCUACCUGGUUAAGUGAUCUAUCUAAGGCCUCUCAUACCAGAAGUGCUUCUGGGGAAGAGGAAAGUACAUCACUAAGAAGAAAAAUGUCUCUCGUGUGCUAUUCUGGGGGAGCCCCAAGGACUUUAAGAAAUGCAAGAAUUGUGCUGCAGGCCCAAACUUAGAAACUGAAGGAAAGUGUAUACCAUAUUCCAAUUAUACUGCUUCAUGGCCUUGCAUAGCUGCUUUGAAGGACGGAUCUUUAAAGAUUUAUAAACUUGGGUGGGUGGAUGGGUAGGGGAAAGGACACCCACGCUUUCUUCCUGCUUCAAGCAUCCCAGCUCUCACUCUCUUUUUUCUCUAGUUUUGCAGCUCAAAAGCCCUGGAACAACUGCAGCUGGGUGAGUGUAAUAAACAGGUACCUGAGAAAAGGGGUCAAGUUCAAUAUGAUGUUUGCUGCCCAUGUCCCCAGACACUGUGGGCCCCCACAGUGCUCACUAAGCCCAGCUUCUUGCUGCCUGGCUUAGGACAGCUAGGGACGACCUUCAACAGAGGCCUUGAAGGAUAGUCAGUUUAAAGAGCAAGAAUGAGAUUUUUGGCCACACACUUUCAUCCUUAGCACCUGAGAAGAUACCAGGUGGCCAAGAGAAAUGUAGACCAUGGCUAUUCCCCUGUGCCUGGCACUGCUGUUGUGCAGAGGGAAGAGAAGCACCAGAGAUGGGUUGGUGAGGACUUUCAAAGGUCUGACCGCCAUGUUCAGUGUAAGGGAAAGUGCAUUUGUCUUGAAGCCAGUAUCUUAGCUUCCAGUUCUGACUGCCCUUUCCUUACUUGGGCUUCCAGCAACUACUAAAAGGCUUUGUUUUCUUUCUGUUGAAGGAGAGAAUGCUAUCUAAGUACAGAUUGAGCAUCCCUACUGUGAAAAUCUGAAAUCCAAAAUGCUCCAGAAUCCAAAAAUUUUUUGAACACAAACAUGCUGCCAACAAGUGGAAAAUUUCACACCUUACCUCAUGUGACAGGUCACAGUCAAAAUCCAGGCACCUUUAGCCUGUGUGUCUGAGUUGUAUAUGAAACAAGUGAAUUUCAUGUUUAUAUUUUGGUCCCAUCCCCCCAAUAUAUAUAAUUAUUUCCAAAAAAAUUUUUUAAAAAUCUGAAACAUUUCUGGUCCAAAUAUUUUGGAUCAAGGAUUCUCAACUUGUAUUCAAAUUUGAUCUUCUGACUCAAAAUCUUUCUUCGUGCUGAUGACAGAACUGUCUUCCAGAGAGAAAGUUCAUGUUGCUCCUUCCCUUGCAAAGUUUUGGUGCCUUCUCACCCCUGUGGCAAGGAGUUUCAGCUCCUGCAUAGAAGCAGUCAAAGCCUUCUAGGACAUGUCCCUAACUCCCCUCUGUUUACUACUGAGCUCUCCCAUAACCUGGGCCUAAAGGACCACUCGUGCAGGUGUUGGUGCCUUUGCGCAUGUGCUUCUAUCAGUUCUCUGUGGAAAUCCUUGCCAUUCAAGAGCUGGCUCAGUAGCUUCUCUCCGGAACACUUUCUUUGAUGCUGAGAGUCAGAAUUAGUUUUUAUACCCACAAAGCCCAUUGCUUGUUCAAUAAUAGUGACGUGAAACGCACAUCCCUUUGGAAUGAGAUGGACUUGACUCAGCCCUCGAUCUCUCACUCACAGCCAUGUGACUUUUGGAAAAUCACUAAAUUGCUUUGUCUUACAAAAAACCAAACCUUACCUUACCUUAAAAUGUUGUACAGGUUGAAUGAAGUCAUAUGUACGAGACCCUUGGGAGAAGAAAAUUAUGGGUGGGCUGAAGGCACUAAACGGAACCCCAUUUCCUAACAUUGCUUACAGGGUCUUCUGGACCCUCCUGUUCUCCCCAGCAGGUGGAGAGAUCCCAGUGGAGGUCUAUGCUGGCCAUCUUCUGUCCUUUUUUCCCCUAGUACUGGCGACUGAACCCUUUCUGUUUUUUACUUUGAGACAGGGCCUUGCCAAGUCACCAAGUUGCCCAGGCUGGCUAGAAUUUUCAGUCCUCCCCACCCUACGCCAAGUCCCUGUCAUGGGUUCUGUGGGCAUUGCCUCAAUAUUUACAACACUGUAAGCACUUGAUUUCUCAGGUCCUCAGUUUCUCUAUCUGGGCAGUAGUGACAAAGGGUAGCAAAAAAGGACAUCCUGAGCUUAAAGAAAAAUUCCCAGGACCGAGCCUAUUGUUAAUUGGAAAAUAAAUAGCUCUCAGUUGAGCAGGAUUCUCCUUUAAGGGGAGCCUCCUGCAAUGUGGGUCGGGAGACAGUUACACCUCCUUUGAGGAUAAUAAUGACUGCCCCUAACUUCUCUGGAAGAACAUUGGGAAGAUAAAUGAGACAAUACACCUGACAGCUCUUUGAGUGCUUGUGAAAAAGAUACCCUUCAAAUAUAGGAUACAAGUGUGCUUUGCUUUGACUUGUGAAUUUGGGAGAUUUUGUGAAAAUCUGAACCUACAAAACAGACAAAUUAAGGGGUGAAAAUUAGCAUCAGAAACAGCCUGUUGGCUUGACAGAAAGAUUCACAGCAGGAUCCCUUAAAUAGCCAGCUCCCCUGGUGCAUUUAAAAUAUGACUCAAUUUACAAAGAAUUUGAUUUACAUAUACCCAGUUAGGAACACUACUACUAAAGGAGAGGCACUUAUGUUUUUUACAAUAAAGAUCAAUAACUGUGGGAUUUUAAAAAUAUAAAAUAUUUCUUUCUUUUCAUCAUCUUUAAUUCUGUAGUUAACACUUUCAGUGCUGGGACCCAGGAGCACAUUUUUCAGGAAUGUGCAGGCAGAACAGAGUGAUCCAGCUGAUACCUGAUUAAAUAAAUAAAUAAACUGGCUUGAGAUCACAGCUGAACAUAAUGUGCUUUAUCUAAUUGAGUUAAAGGAUUUCUGGCUUGAAAGAUUAAAAAUCAAUAAGCAGUGCAUCUCUGAUGUCUGAAAGAGCCUGAUAUGGAAAAAGGAUCAUACGUAGUAGGUACAAAAGCCACUAGAAAUGAGUGAGCUCUGUCAUUGUUCAGGUUUUCCCCUUUGGGAGUAUAUCAGGUAUGGGUGUGCGUGUGCGUGUGUGUGUGUGUGUGUGUGUGUGUGUUCAUGUGUACAUGCCAGCCAAUGUUGGCAAGUGUGAGGGGAGUACUGUGGUCCAAAUAACACCUCUCAAAGAUGAACAUUUCCCAGGGGCCUGGGAUUUAGCUCAGUGGUUCCGCUGCCUGCCUCGAAAGCUCAAGGACCAGAGUUCAAUCCCCAGUACCAAAAAAAACCCACACACACAAAAAAGAUGAACACUUCCCAAUCUUCCUAUUCUCCUAAACCCGUGUCAGAUGGCAAGGGCAAAUUGAAGCUGGAGGUGAAAUUCAAUUUGCUAGCCAGCUGACCAUAAAAAGGAAGAUUUUAUCCUGCGUUAUCCAGGUAGACCUAAAUCAUCUAAUGUAUGGGGCUCUUAAGAUAUGGCUGGAUGAGGUGGUACAUGCCUUGACAUCCCAGCACUCCAGGAGGCUAAGGCAAGGCGGGAGCAGUUCAAAUUCCAGCCCAGCCUGGGCAGUUUAGUGACUUGGCGAGACCCUGUCUCAAAAUAAAAGGGCUGGGGUUGUAGCUCAGUGUGAAGAUUCUGGGCUCAGUUUUUACUACGGAAAAAAAGAGGAGGAGGAGGAGGAAGGAGAAGGAGAAGAAGAAAAAUUGGUGUUCUGCAAUGCCAUGGGGAAAAGGCCCAAGUGAGCAUUUUCUGAAGGGGCCAAGAGCCAAGGAAUGUGAGCAGCCUCAGAAAGCUGGCAAGGGUAAGAAAGGAUGGUCUCCUCGGCCUUCCAGAAAAGGAACAUGGUUCUGAUGAGACCAUCACUGUGGCCUAGUGAGACCCUCAAGAACUGUAAGAUAGUAAGUUUGCAUUUGUGUAAGUCAUUAAUUUCCUAGUACUUGUCAGAGCAGCCACAGAAAACAAAUGAGGGGUCGGUGAUGUCGCAGCCUCAUCGCACCCUUCCUGAGGAUGAGGCUGUGCAACAUCCCGGCAUGUUGUCAGGAACCUGGAUGCGGCCUCCAGUUGGCUGUGUCCACAGACAGGUCUCGAAUGCACAAAAGGAUAUUCUACCCGACCGGGAGGCAAGGUGCUGGAGAAAACGGAGCAUGGCGGCCUGGCUGCUGGACUGUACUGUGUGCCAAAUGAGCAGGGAAAAGCCCUAGGCUCCCUGUGCUGACAGGACUCCUCUCUUCCAGCCAGCUUUCCACUUGUAGUCCGGCCCCCAGAGUCAAUGGCACAGGUCGGAACAAUUCCAAGUCUCGCCCAGAGCCAUGGGCCGCUCCUCUAAGCUUCUCCAUGUCUGCCCUUGUCACUGGAUGGGGUCUGAGGAGAUCCUUCCAGGCUCGACCUUCCCACUAUGUAGGUUGGGAGACUUUCAUCCUAGAAAAGCAUGUCAGGACAGGUCCCUGAAAGGCACAGGCAGAUUUAUUAAGCAGAAUCAAAAAAGGACACAUUCAGAAAGGAAUGCAGGGACUUGAGAUGUGAGGCACAUUGUUUAUGUUCUGGGGCUCAGGGUAUUUAUGUGGUCUCAGGGGUGGUACUCUGGAAUUUGUGAAUCUAUAGGAUCAAAAAUCCAGGCCCAAUUCACAGGCAAAAGGCACCGGCCCAAUUUACAGGAGAAAAUCAUGGGGCCCAAUGUAUAGACUUACUGUAUCAUUAAGACUCUUGGGAAUCUAGGAGUGAGUAGCUUGGAAGGGGUGGGAAAAAAGAAAGCAUUGUGACCUUGGAUAACUGUGUCCUGAAGCUGCAAUUUCCUUUAAAGUACAAUUUAAAAAUUAUAAUUUUCCUCGUCUCCUUUCUAUGUUUAUUUCUCCUGUCCUCCCUCAGCAUCAGCAGCUUGGCACCAUCGGGAACUCCUUGUGUCUGCCGGCCCUUCCCUUUGUCCUUCCAGCAGGUGCACGAGCAGAGCUGGCUGGCCUGGAGCAGGCAGGACGUCAGUCGUCAGUCGGAGGGACCGUGGGGCACCCUUGUGCCCUUGGCCUCGCCUGCACCUGAAGGAAUCGCACCUUUCUACCUCUUGUCUCCCCACUGUGCUGAGUGCACUUGGGCAGUUUCUACUCCAUUCUUGGGCUUCAUCCUGGUGGGUGUUUGGUGAAGGGAGAGUGCAGGCAGGGAAGCUCAGAGGGGAAAGGGAGGGAAGCCCUGUGCUGUGUAAGCCCGCCUGUAUUCUCUAACCCAGCUUCUUCCAGCAACAGAGCUGAUGCUCUGAUCUUCAACUGGUUCUACACCAGUUAUCAGGUGGAGGGAUGCAAUUAAUUGCCCCAAUAUUUACCAUGCCUAGUUUCCUAAUAUAGUUUUGAAUUCUAAAAUCCCAGAUGGUGAGAAAAAACACAAAUGUGAAUCUCUGCUUGCUCUUUAACAACUGUGUGAUUUGUAGUAAACUGACUCACCUCUCCAAACCUAAGUUGCAUCUCAAGAAUACGGGUACUAACAGAAUCCACUUCUUGGGGUUGUUAUAAGGAUUACAUGAGUGAUUUUGUAACUCUUAGCAUGGGCCCUCUUUUAGAGUAACAGGAAGGGAGAACAACCAAUAGAACAUUAACCAUUGUUAGCACGAUUUUUGUUGUCAUUAAAGGAUGGUAAUUGGCCCUCUCUGUUGGAGUUUUAGCUGAAGCAUCAGCUUCAUUUUUCAUAGUGAGAUGCUUGCCACAUAGGCAGGGUGUGCAAGGGAGGUGUUUCAGGACUGAUUUUACAACAAUUGGCUGCAGAUUCAGGGGCCAAAACAUCGGCGGCAAUUGGAGAAUUUUCUUUUAAAAGAAGAAUGCGAUGGGUUUGUGUCCUACUCCGCUUUCCUCAAGCGGGGAAGUGAGUGUGUUUCUUGUGGAUCUAUCAGGCUCUGGGAAUUGUCUGGCAGGUCUGCGAACCUGUGGGGAAUGGUCUGCAGGCAUCAGGGGCAGGUGAGAGGUGUGUGCAUCUGGGCUGAGGAUCCCUCGAGGUGAGGAAAGUCAGCUUUAAGUGGGGUGACUACAUGUCCCGUGUACCCCGGACAGCCUGCCUUUCUAUCUGCUGUUGUGGUGACUUAUGGAACACACCUACUGUCUUCCCUUUUUUGAAUUUUUUGUUGUUGUUUUGUUUUGUUUUUUGGUACCGGGGGUCGAACUCGGGUCCUUGCACUUGAGAGGCAGGUGGCAGA